AUUCGCUCUCGCUGCUGUGUAUUUCUCUAUUCAAGAACUUUUCU
rnacentral:sRNA from 1 species